rnacentral:sRNA from 1 species
UGACAACAGGUGAACACCACAACGACUGAAUAGAGUAGUUCCCUAGGCACAGAUGUUAAAGAUGCCAAGGUGAUAAGUGUUUCUACAGGAACAAAAUGUAUUAAUGGUGAAUACAUGAGUGAUCGUGGCCUUGCAUUAAAUGACUGCCAUGCAGAAAUAAUAUCUCGGAGAUCCUUGCUCAGAUUUCUUUAUACACAACUUGAGCUUUACUUAAAUAACAAAGAUGAUCAAAAAAGAUCCAUCUUUCAGAAAUCAGAGCGAGGGGGGUUUAGGCUGAAGGAGAAUGUCCAGUUUCAUCUGU